AUGAAAGACACACAGAAAGAGAGGCAGAGACACAGGCCGAGGGAGAAGCAGGUUCCAUGCAGGGAGCCCGACUUGUGGGAAAUGAGGGAAGAAAGUUGCAGGUUACCCAAACACAGGUUGUCCAAGGCAGGUUUCGGCCCCCUAACCACGAGAUUUUUUUUUUUAAUCUUUUUUAUUUUUUUUAAAGAUUUUAUUUAUUUAUUCAUGAUAGUCACAGAGAGAGAGAGAGAGAGAGGGAGAGAGGCAGAGCGAGAAGCAGGCUCCAUGCACCGGGAGCCCGACGUGGGAUUCGAUCCCGGGUCUCCAGGAUCACGCCCUGGGCCAAAGGCAGGCGCCAAACCGCUGCGCCACCCAGGGAUCCCCCACGGGAUUUUUUUAAAGAUUUUAUUUAUUUAUUCAUGUGAGACACAGAGAAAGAGAGGCAGAGACACACACAGGCAGAGGGAGAAGCAGGUUCCAUGCAGGGAGCCCGAUGUGGGACUAGAUCCUGGGACUCGAUCCCCUGGGUCUCAAUCCUGGGUCUGGAUCCCCUGGGACUCGAUCCUGGGUCUGGAUCCCCUGGGACUCGAUCCUGGGUCUGGAUCCUGGGUCUCGAUCCCCUGGGACUCGAUCCCGGGUCUGGAUCCUGGGUCUCGAUCCCCUGGGACUCGAUCCUGGGUCUCCGGGGUCACACCCGGGGCCGAAGGCAGACGCUCUCCCGCGGAGCCACGCAGGGGUCCCCUAACCACGAGAUUUUCAAGAGCGCGGUGUCCCGAUGGCUUGACCUCAGUGCCGUCAUGCGGCCUGGCCUUUUGUCCGUGCUGCACUCUCCUACUUUAUCUCCUACUCAUCAACCCAGACAGGCAUAGGGGCAAACGGCCACGAGGAUGUCAAGACCCUGGGAGGUAUUUGUUAAUGGCCCACCUAGAAGGCAUCUUCGGCGGUUCCCGGUGGGACGCUGGGCUGGCACGGAGCCGGCGGGAGGUUUGUUUCGAUUGCGGGCAAACCCCGCCCCCCGCGCCCAAUUCCCCGCUUUUAACUUUCCUUCCCGCGGCCCCCGAGGCCGCGAAGACCAGUUCCGUGGUCCCUCCCACCGCUUCGGGCCGCGGCGGCCGCGAGAACACAGGAAGGAAGCGCCCACCCCCGGACCCCGAGGUCCCGCCGCACCUCCGCGCUCGCCCGAUGCAUUGUGGGCGCUGUAGUCCGGCCGGGACCCGUUGGCGACUACAAGUCCCGUGA
rnacentral:lncRNA from 1 species